rnacentral:rRNA from 1 species
UGUGCUUACAAGUAGUCAGAGCCCGUUAAUGGGUGAUGGCGUGCCUUUUGUAGAAUGAACCGGCGAGUUACGAUUUGAUGCAAGGUUAAGCAGUAAAUGUGGAGCCGUAGCGAAAGCGAGUCUGAAUAGGGCGUUUAGUAUUUGGUCGUAGACCCGAAACCAGGUGAUCUACCCUUGGUCAGGUUGAAGUUCAGGUAACACUGAAUGGAGGACCGAACCGACUUACGUUGAAAAGUGAGCGGAUGAACUGAGGGUAGCGGAGAAAUUCCAAUCGAACCUGGAGAUAGCUGGUUCUCUCCGAAAUAGCUUUAGGGCUAGCCUCAAGUGAUGAUUAUUGGAGGUAGAGCACUGUUUGGACGAGGGGCCCCUCUCGGGUUACCGAAUUCAGACAAACUCCGAAUGCCAAUUAAUUUAACUUGGGAGUCAGAACAUGGGUGAUAAGGUCCGUGUUCGAAAGGGAAACAGCCCAGACCACCAGCUAAGGUCCCAAAAUAUAUGUUAAGUGGAAAAGGAUGUGGCGUUGCCCAGACAACUAGGAUGUUGGCUUAGAAGCAGCCAUCAUUUAAAGAGUGCGUAAUAGCUCACUAGUCGAGUGACACUGCGCCGAAAAUGUACCGGGGCUAAACAUAUUACCGAAGCUGUGGAUUGUCCUUUGGACAAUGGUAGGAGAGCGUUCUAAGGGCGUUGAAGCAUGAUCGCAAGGACAUGUGGAGCGCUUAGAAGUGAGAAUGCCGGUGUGAGUAGCGAAAGACGGGUGAGAAUCCCGUCCACCGAUUGACUAAGGUUUCCAGAGGAAGGCUCGUCCGCUCUGGGUUAGUCGGGUCCUAAGCUGAGGCCGACAGGCGUAGGCGAUGGAUAACAGGUUGAUAUUCCUGUACCACCUAUAAUCGUUUUAAUCGAUGGGGGGACGCAGUAGGAUAGGCGAAGCGUGCGAUUGGAUUGCACGUCUAAGCAGUAAGGCUGAGUAUUAGGCAAAUCCGGUACUCGUUAAGGCUGAGCUGUGAUGGGGAGAAGACAUUGUGUCUUCGAGUCGUUGAUUUCACACUGCCGAGAAAAGCCUCUAGAUAGAAAAUAGGUGCCCGUACCGCAAACCGACACAGGUAGUCAAGAUGAGAAUUCUAAGGUGAGCGAGCGAACUCUCGUUAAGGAACUCGGCAAAAUGACCCCGUAACUUCGGGAGAAGGGGUGCUCUUUAGGGUUAACGCCCAGAAGAGCCGCAGUGAAUAGGCCCAAGCGACUGUUUAUCAAAAACACAGGUCUCUGCUAAACCGUAAGGUGAUGUAUAGGGGCUGACGCCUGCCCGGUGCUGGAAGGUU